UAUGGUUAAUAGUCAUAUUCAUUUGACGUUUAGCUGCAGAAGAAGCACCGGCUAACUCCGUGCCAGCAGCCGCGGUAAUACGGAGGGUGCGAGCGUUAAUCGGAAUUACUGGGCGUAAAGCGCAUGCAGGUGGUUUGUUAAGUCAGAUGUGAAAGCCCGGGGCUCAACCUCGGAAUUGCAUUUGAAACUGGCAAACUAGAGUACUGUAGAGGGGGUAGAAUUUCAGGUGUAGCGGUGAAAUGCGUAGAGAUCUGAAGGAAUACCGGUGGCGAAGGCGGCCCCCUGGACAGAUACUGACACUCAGAUGCGAAAGCGUGGGGAGCAAACAGGAUUAGAUACCCUGGUAG
rnacentral:rRNA from 1 species